UUAAGCGACUAAGCGUACACGGUGGAUGCCCUGGCAGUCAGAGGCGAUGAAGGACGUGCUAAUCUGCGAAAAGCGUCGGUAAGGUGAUAUGAACCGUUAUAACCGGCGAUGUCCGAAUGGGGAAAACCCAGUGUGAUUCGUCACACUAUCGUUAACUGAAUACAUAGGUUAACGAGGCGAACCGGGGGAACUGAAACAUCUAAGUACCCCGAGGAAAAGAAAUCAACCGAGAUUCCCCCAGUAGCGGCGAGCGAACGGGGAGCAGCCCAGAGUCUGAAUCAGCUUGUGUGUUAGUGGAACGGUCUGGAAAGUCCGACGGUACAGGGUGAUAGUCCCGUACACCAAAAUGCACAGGUUGUGAACUCGAAGAGUAGGGCGGGACACGUGGUAUCCUGUCUGAAUAUGGGGGGGACCAUCCUCCAAGGCUAAAUACUCCUGACUGACCGAUAGUGAACCAGUACCGUGAGGGAAAGGCGAAAAGAACCCCGGCGAGGGGAGUGAAAAAGAACCUGAAACCGUGUACGUACAAGCAGUGGGAGCACCUUCGGGUGUGACUGCGUACCUUUUGUAUAAUGGGUCAGCGACUUAUAUUCUGUAGCAAGGUUAACCGUAUAGGGGAGCCGCAGGGAAACCGAGUCUUAACUGGGCGUUAAGUUGCAGGGUAUAGACCCGAAACCCGGUGAUCUAGCCAUGGGCAGGUUGAAGGUUGGGUAACACUAACUGGAGGACCGAACCGACUAAUGUUGAAAAAUUAGCGGAUGACUUGUGGCUGGGGGUGAAAGGCCAAUCAAACCGGGAGAUAGCUGGUUCUCCCCGAAAGCUAUUUAGGUAGCGCCUCGUGAACUCAUCUUCGGGGGUAGAGCACUGUUUCGGCUAGGGGGUCAUCCCGACUUACCAACCCGAUGCAAACUACGAAUACCGAAGAAUGUUAUCACGGGAGACACACGGCGGGUGCUAACGUCCGUCGUGAAGAGGGAAACAACCCAGACCGCCAGCUAAGGUCCCAAAGUCAUGGUUAAGUGGGAAACGAUGUGGGAAGGCACAGACAGCCAGGAUGUUGGCUUAGAAGCAGCCAUCAUUUAAAGAAAGCGUAAUAGCUCACUGGUCGAGUCGGCCUGCGCGGAAGAUGUAACGGGGCUAAACCAUGCACCGAAGCUGCGGCAGCGACACUAUGUGUUGUUGGGUAGGGGAGCGUUCUGUAAGCCUGCGAAGGUGACCUGUGAGGGUUGCUGGAGGUAUCAGAAGUGCGAAUGCUGACAUAAGUAACGAUAAAGCGGGUGAAAAGCCCGCUCGCCGGAAGACCAAGGGUUCCUGUCCAACGUUAAUCGGGGCAGGGUGAGUCGACCCCUAAGGCGAGGCCGAAAGGCGUAGUCGAUGGGAAACAGGUUAAUAUUCCUGUACUUGGUGUUACUGCGAAGGGGGGACGGAGAAGGCUAUGUUAGCCGGGCGACGGUUGUCCCGGUUUAAGCAUGUAGGCUGGUAUACCAGGCAAAUCCGGAUAAUCAAGGCUGAGGUGUGAUGACGAGGCACUACGGUGCUGAAGUAACAAAUGCCCUGCUUCCAGGAAAAGCCUCUAAGCAUCAGGUAACAUCAAAUCGUACCCCAACCGACACAGGUGGUCAGGUAGAGAAUUACCAAGGCGCUUGAGAGAACUCGGGGUGAAGGAACUAGGCAAAAUGGUGCCGUAACUUCGGGAGAAGGCACGCUGGUGUGUAGGUGAAGCCCCUGCGGGUGGAGCUGAGACCAGUCGAAGAUACCAGCUGGCUGCAACUGUUUAUUAAAAACACAGCACUGUGCAAACACGAAAGUGGACGUAUACGGUGUGACGCCUGCCCGGUGCCGGAAGGUUAAUUGAUGGGGUUAUCCGUAAGGAGAAGCUCUUGAUCGAAGCCCCGGUAAACGGCGGCCGUAACUAUAACGGUCCUAAGGUAGCGAAAUUCCUUGUCGGGUAAGUUCCGACCUGCACGAAUGGCGUAAUGAUGGCCAGGCUGUCUCCACCCGAGACUCAGUGAAAUUGAACUCGCUGUGAAGAUGCAGUGUACCCGCGGCAAGACGGAAAGACCCCGUGAACCUUUACUAUAGCUUGACACUGAACAUUGAGCCUUGAUGUGUAGGAUAGGUGGGAGGCUUUGAAGCGUGGACGCCAGUCUGCGUGGAGCCAACCUUGAAAUACCACCCUUUAAUGUUUGAUGUUCUAACGUUGGCCCCUUACCGGGGUUGCGGACAGUGUCUGGUGGGUAGUUUGACUGGGGCGGUCUCCUCCCAAAGCGUAACGGAGGAGCACGAAGGUUAGCUAAUCCUGGUCGGACAUCAGGAGGUUAGUGCAAUGGCAUAAGCUAGCUUGACUGCGAGCGUGACGGCGCGAGCAGGUGCGAAAGCAGGUCAUAGUGAUCCGGUGGUUCUGAAUGGAAGGGCCAUCGCUCAACGGAUAAAAAGGUACUCCGGGGAUAACAGGCUGAUACCGCCCAAGAGUUCAUAUCGACGGCGGUGUUUGGCACCUCGAUGUCGGCUCAUCACAUCCUGGGGGCUGAAGUAGGUCCCAAGGGUAUGGCUGUUCGCCAUUUAAAGUGGUACGCGAGCUGGGUUUAGAACGUCGUGAGACAGUUCGGUCCCUAUCUGCCGUGGGCGCUGGAGAAUUGAGGGGGGCUGCUCCUAGUACGAGAGGACCGGAGUGGACGCAUCACUGGUGUUCGGGUUGUCAUGCCAAUGGCACUGCCCGGUAGCUAAAUGCGGAAGAGAUAAGUGCUGAAAGCAUCUAAGCACGAAACUUGCCCCGAGAUGAGUUCUCCCUGAGACUUUAAGUCUCCUGAAGGAACGUUGAAGACGACGACGUUGAUAGGCCGGGUGUGUAAGCGCAGCGAUGCGUUGAGCUAACCGGUACUAAUGAACCGUGAGGCUUAACCUU
rnacentral:rRNA from 1 species